CAACAAGUGGUCAUUCACCCAAAUUGGUCUCUGGAUGAUACAGUUACGUCUGUUUUACUCCAACACUGCAUUCUGCCCUGAGCUGAUUUCAGAAUGCGCAGGAUUGAAAGAUUUAACCAUAACUCUUCACAUGGAUCUCCAAAAUUAGCAAUUCUUAGUGUGUUAGAAAUAAGAUUUGAUGGAGCUUCUGAAUAUGUAAUUUUGUUCUUUUGUACAUGAAACAAACCGGAUUUUCAUUUAUGAGAAUCCGACUCCCUAUACCCUCGUGAUAAUCCCUGGAUCAGCAACUAUCACAUAAAGAACUCAUUUCAGUAUAAUAUCAUUUCCAUACAAUGUAAUCAGAGUACAAUAUUUAAUAUUUACAUCUGAAUCAACUCGAAAUACAAAUAUUGUACAAAC
rnacentral:lncRNA from 1 species